rnacentral:rRNA from 1 species
UGGGGAAUAUUGGACAAUGGGCGCAAGCCUGAUCCAGCCAUACCGCGUGGGUGAAGAAGGCCUUCGGGUUGUAAAGCCCUUUUGUUGGGAAAGAAAUCCAGCUGGUUAAUACCCGGUUGGGAUGACGGUACCCAAAGAAUAAGCACCGGCUAACUUCGUGCCAGCAGCCGCGGUAAUACGAAGGGUGCAAGCGUUACUCGGAAUUACUGGGCGUAAAGCGUGCGUAGGUGGUCGUUUAAGUCUGUUGUGAAGCCCUGGGCUCAACCUGGGAACUGCAGUGGAAACUGGACGACUAGAGUGUGGUAGAGGGUAGCGGAAUUCCUGGUGUAGCAGUGAAAUGCGUAGAGAUCAGGAGGAACAUCCAUGGCGAAGGCAGCUACCUGGACCAACACUGACACUGAGGCACGAAAGCGUGGGGAGCAAACAGGAUUAGAUACCCUGGUAGUCCACGCCCUAAACGAUGCGAACUGGAUGUUGGGUGCAAUUUUGGCACGCAGUAUCGAAGCUAACGCGUUAAGUUCGCCGCCUGGGGAGUACGGUCGCAAGACUGAAACUCAAAUGAAUUGAC